UACUUCUCGCGAGUGUGGCCGCUGCUCCAGAUUCGCGAUGUUCGCGAUUUUGAGGUCUACCCGGGGGUACGGGUCAAGUUCCGCCCUCGCGCUCACAGGGUUGAAAUCACCGGAACGAACCUGCGAACCGUCGAAGGCGUCGCAGAGAAUUUCGGACGCUCCGCCAAACGUGCUGGCUUACUUCACCGUCAUCGCCACGAAGCAACCGACGGUGCCAA
rnacentral:misc_RNA from 1 species